UACGUAGGGUGCGAGCGUUGUCCGGAAUUAUUGGGCGUAAAGAGCUCGUAGGCGGCUUGGCAAGUCGGGUGUGAAACCUCCAGGCUCAACCUGGAGACGCCACUCGAUACUGCUAUGGCUAGAGUCCGGUAGGGGACCACGGAAUUCCUGGUGUAGCGGUGAAAUGCGCAGGAUAUCAGGAGGAACACCGGUGGCGAAGGCGGUGGUCGUGGG
rnacentral:rRNA from 1 species